AUGAAUCAAUAUUUUAGAGUCCACAACAGACGGCGUCUUUCAUUUGACAACUACAUUGCAGAGUUGGGCAGUCUGCACGUUGGGAGAGAACAUGAAAUCACAAGGUCAAUCCCGGCCCAACAGCCGAAGAGGUGGCUACCGCCUCCCAGUGGCAUAGCGAAGAUCAACGUGGACGGAGCGGUUGGGCGAACCAGGCAAGGAAGGGCAGUAGCGGCGUUCUGCCGUGAUCAGGGAGGCAACUACCUAGGCUCAUCAGCUGUGGUUUACUACGGAGUAACUAAUCCGUUGUUGCUGGAGACAUUUGCUUGCCGUGAAGCACUAGCAUUGGCUAACGAUCUUGCGGAGCAGAAGAUAUAUGUGGCCUCGGACUGCCAAGAGGCGGUGAAUGACAUAAACAGAGGGACGGGAGGCCCUAAUGCGGCGCUAGUACAUGAAAUAACACACCAUAGCAAUAGUUUUGUUUCUUGCUCUUUUGUUUUUGAGCGUAGGAAUUUCAAUUUCGAGGCUUACAAUUUUGCCAAGUUUGCUUGUAAUCUAGACAUAGGUAGACAUGUUUGGUUGAGUUACCCCCAUGACCUGAACCUUGUACCUAUGACAAUUCUUUUGAAUGAAUAA
rnacentral:rRNA from 1 species